UACGGGGGGGGCAAGCGUUGUUCGGAAUUACUGGGCGUAAAGGGCUCGUAGGUGGCCAACUAAGUCGGACGUGAAAUCCCUCGGCUUAACCGGGGAACUGCGUCCGAUACUGGUUGGCUUGAGUUUGGGAGAGGGAUGCGGAAUUCCAGGUGUAGCGGUGAAAUGCGUAGAUAUCAGGAGGAAUACCGAUGGCGAAGGCAGGUCUCUGGGCUGACACUGACGCUCAUGCACGAAAGCGUGGGGAGCAAACAGG
rnacentral:rRNA from 1 species